rnacentral:rRNA from 1 species
UACGUAGGUGGCAAGCGUUGUCCGGAAUUAUUGGGCGUAAAGCGCGCGCCGGUGGUUUCUUAAGUCUGAUGUGAAAGCCCACGGCUCAACCGUGGAGGGUCAUUGGAAACUGGGGAACUUGAGUGCAGGAGAGAAGAGUGGAAUUCCACGUGUAGCGGUGAAAUGCGUAGAGAUGUGGAGGAACACCAGUGGCGAAGGCGACUCUUUGGCCUGUAACUGACACUGAGGCGCGAAAGCGUGGGGAGCAAACAGG